rnacentral:ribozyme from 1 species
GCCCCAACCGUACCGCACAGCACCACCGUAAGCAGAGUCUCUUCAACGAAUCCUGCGAUAUCGUCGUCGUCCUCUGAAGCUAAUCCUUCAGCGAUGGGGGCCACCGCCGUCGUA